AACCUGCCCUGAAGCGGGGGACAACAACUCGAAAGAGUUGCUAAUACCGCAUGUGAAUUGUCUUGGCAUCAAGGCGUAUUCAAAGCCGUAAGGCACUUCAGGAUGGGCCCGCGGCCUAUCAGCUAGUUGGUGAGGUAACGGCCCACCAAGGCUUCGACGGGUAGCUGGUCUGAGAGGACGAUCAGCCGGAUUGGGACUGAGAUACGGCCCAGACUCCUACGGGGGGCAGCAAUUAGGAAUCUUGCGCAAUGGGCGAAAGCCUGACGCAGCGACGUCGCGUGAAG
rnacentral:rRNA from 1 species